AUUAAAAGUUUGUUGUGUUUUAUUAUUUACUUGUAUGUGAUUGACAAAGGGCAAUCGACGCUUUUGGGGGAGGAGGGUUUGGUAGCAGUUUCUUUCCUUGUGUGUGUAGGGCUUCUCUGCCCGUUUGGGCGGCGAUUGCCUUCUGCCGGUGUUGGGUUCGGUUACCCACGGUGACUCUUGUCGGUCGGUGUGGUUUUUUGGUUUUUGCUGGGUCGUGUACUGUUGAGAGUGAGUUGUUUGGUUGAUCCAUGUUUGUGAUGGUGUUGCAUGUGAAGAGCUUAUCGCUCGUAUGUAUUUGAUGUCGUUGUUUUCUAUCGGAUUUUUGGAAUGAUGGAUGGAAUAGUCACCGGAGUGCUAGUUGGUCUCAGAACGGUCCCUCCAUAGCUAUGCGAUAAUGAAACUACCAUAGCACCAUUUUCUUCUUCCGGUAGCUUUCAUCGAUGCUCCUGUGAGUUUGUGCGUUCCACUUUAGUGUUCCUUGUACCGAUGAUGUUGGCGAUGGCGAAUCGGUGUUCGUCUUCUAGGUUCUUCUUGAGUGGGCUGGACUUCUUACAGGAUUAGAUGUUGAGUUUUUGGAUUGGGCCUUAUACUUUGUCUUUGGGCCGAAGUGGGCCUUCUUGUGUAAUCUACUCGCUUGGGCUUUAAAUGCAUCUUAUGCAUGGUAAAAAUAAAUAAAUAAAUAAAUAUUUGAUGUCUA